UUAACCGGAGAAGUGCAUCGGAAACUGGAUAACUUGAGUGCAGAAGAGGGUAGUGGAACUCCAUGUGUAGCGGUGGAAUGCGUAGAUAUAUGGAAGAACACCAGUGGCGAAGGCGGCUACUGGUCUGCAACUGACGCUGAGACUCGAAAGCAUGGGUAGCGAACAGGAUUAGAUACCCUGGUAGUCCAUGCCGUAAACGAUGAGUGCUAGGUGUUGGAGGGUUUCCGCCCUUCAGUGCCGGAGCUAACGCAUUAAGCACUCCGCCUGGGGAGUACGACCGCAAGGUUGAAACUCAAAGGAAUUGACGGGGGCCCGCACAAGCGGUGGAGCAUGUGGUUUAAUUCGAAGCUACGCGAAGAACCUUACCAGGUCUUGACAUCUUGCGCCAACCCUAGAGAUAGGGCGUUUCCUUCGGGAACGCAAUGACAGGUGGUGCAUGGUCGUCGUCAGCUCGUGUCGUGAGAUGUUGGGUUAAGUCCCGCAACGAGCGCAACCCUUGUUACUAGUUGCCAGCAUUAAGUUGGGCACUCUAGUGAGACUGCCGGUGACAAACCGGAGGAAGGUGGGGACGACGUCAGAUCAUCAUGCCCCUUAUGACCUGGGCUACACACGUGCUACAAUGGACGGUACAACGAGUCGCGAACUCGCGAGGGCAAGCAAAUCUCUUAAAACCGUUCUCAGUUCGGACUGCAGGCUGCAACUCGCCUGCACGAAGUCGGAAUCGCUAGUAAUCGCGGAUCAGCAUGCCGCGGUGAAUACGUUCCCGGGCCUUGUACACACCGCCCGUCACACCAUGAGAGUUUGUAACACCCAAAGUCGGUGGGGUAACCUUUAGGAGCCAGCC
rnacentral:rRNA from 2 species